rfam:Naegleria gruberi genomic scaffold NAEGRscaffold_21, whole genome shotgun sequence.
ACUAGGAUAGUGCAGAGGUUAGCAUGUCGGGUUCCCAUCCCGAAGACAUGGGUUCAAAUCCCGUUCCUGGUA